GCCACUGUGGCUUAGUAGGUAGAGCAGCUGAUUUGUAAUCAGCAGGUCGGGGGUUCAAAUCCCUCCAGUGGCU
rnacentral:tRNA from 4 species